rnacentral:rRNA from 1 species
GAUGAACGCUAGCGGCAGGCUUAAUACAUGCAAGUCGAGGGGUAGAGAGGAGCUUGCUCCUCUUGAGACCGGCAAACGGGUGCGGAACACGUACAGAACCUUCCUUCGAGCGGGGAAUAGCCCAGAGAAAUUUGGAUUAAUACCCCAUAGUAUAUCAGAGUGGCAUCACUCAGAUAUUAAAGAUUUAUCACUUGAAGAUGGCUGUGCGGCUGAUUAGGUAGUUGGCGGGGUAACGGCCCACCAAGCCUACGAUCAGUAACUGGUGUGAGAGCACGACCAGUCACACGGGCACUGAGACACGGGCCCGACUCCUACGGGAGGCAGCAGUAAGGAAUAUUGGUCAAUGGACGAAAGUCUGAACCAGCCAUGCCGCGUGGAGGAUGAAGGCCCUCUGGGUUGUAAACUUCUUUUAUAUGGGAAGAAAAAAGAUCUUUCUAGAUCGUCUGACGGUACCAUAUGAAUAAGCACCGGCUAACUCCGUGCCAGCAGCCGCGGUAACAC